CAGUCCUUCACCUUUUAUUUGGGGUGGGGGGGGGUGUCCCCAAUUCCCUUUUGGGGGCCUUUUGGGGCCAUUUAUUGGACAUUUGGGGCCAUUAUGGGGCCAUUUGAGUCCAUUUGGGGCCGUUUAUGGGAUUCUUGGGGCCAUUUGGGGCCGUUUAUGGGAUUCUUGGGGCCAUUAUGGGGCCAUUUGGGGCCAUUUAAUGGACAUUUGGGGGCCAUUUUGGGGCCAUUUGGGGCCAUUUAUGGGAUUCUUGGGGCCAUUUGGGGUCAUUUAUUGGACAUUUGGGGUCCAUUUUGGGGCCAUUUGGGGCCAUUUAUGGGAUUCUUGGGGCCAUUUUGGGGCCAUUUGAGGCCAUUUUGGGGCCAUUUAUGGGAUUCUUGGGGCCAUUUGGGGUCAUUUAUGGGAUUCUUGGGGCCAUUUGGGGCCGUUUAUGGGACUCUUGGGGCCAUUUGGGGCCGUUUAUGGGAUUCUUGGGGCCACUUAUGGGAUUCUUGGGGCCUUUAUGGGGCCAUUUGGGGCCAUUUAUUGGACAUUUGGGGUCCAUUUUGGGGCUAUUUGAGGCCAUUUGGGGCCAUUUAUGGGACAUAUGGGGCCAUUUGGGGCCGUUUAUGGGAUUCUUGGGCCAUUUGGGGCCAUUUAUUGGACAUAUGGGGCCAUUUUGGGGCUAUUUGGGGCCAUUUUGGGGCCAUUUGGGGCCAUUUGGGGUCCCUUCUUGCUGUCCCCACCCCAUUGAUUCCCCUAUAAAGACACACAGCUGUG
rnacentral:lncRNA from 1 species